ensembl:lncRNA
CUGAACAUUAAACAAUUCCUAGCUUGCUUUUUUCCCAGCCGCGGGUAAUUAUUUCACUUCCCCCAAAGUCGACGCUAACAUCGUUUGAACAAGUGGUGUCUCUGUGAUAAUACCUUUGUGACCCCAAAUGUAAGGCUGAGUCCUCUGAGACCCCCAGGAUGAAGCAACCCUUUCAGGAUGGCAGAGUGACCAGCUGAGGAAGGUGCCUGUGUUCCAGACCCCAGGAGCCGCCCAGCAAUCUCUUAGAUGCCUUUUACCCAGGCUAUUGGAAUCUUCUACCUUUCUGCCUAAAUGCGCUAUCUGGCACAUCAUCGGAUCAUCGGACACAUGUGUUGCAUCUCUAGCACCCAUGGUUUUCACGGCCCUUGUAUAAUUUUCUUUUGAAGAUAAAGGAAAUGAUGGGUGAAGAGAGAAGAAGUGCUGUGGACAGAAUUGUAUCCCCCUGUAAAUUCAUAUGCGCUCAUGCUCGGUUG